AAUCCCUUUACUCCUUAACACUCAGCCUCUCAGACUCGGCUUCCUAGUCUCAGAUCAGGAGUUGAAAUCCUAGGCUUUUUGCUUCCUUUUCAAGGUUAAAUCCCUGAUAGCUGAGAGUUCUUUGAGGUUAUGGAACCCUCAAGUGUUG